UGGAAGGCGCUAUCGAGUGGCGGACGGGUGAGUAACGCGUGAACAAUCUGUCCCAGACAGGGGGAUAACACUUGGAAACAGGUGCUAAUACCGCAUGAGACCACAGCGUCACAUGGCGCGAGGGGUAAAAGGAGCGAUCCGGUUUGGGGUGAGUUCGCGUCCGAUUAGCCAGUUGGCGGGGUAACGGCCCACCAAAGCGACGAUCGGUAGCCGAUCUGAGAGGAUGACCGGCCACAUUGGAACUGAGAGACGGUCCAAACUCCUACGGGAGGCAGCAGUGGGGAAUAUUGGGCAAUGGGCGAAAAGCCUGACCCAGCAACGCCGCGUGAGUGAAGUAAGGCCUUCGGGUUGUAAAGCUCUGUUAUAGGGGACGAAGGAAGUGACGGUACCCUAUAAGGAAGCCCCGGCUAACUACGUGCCAGCAGCCGC
rnacentral:rRNA from 1 species